rnacentral:rRNA from 1 species
ACGAACGCUGGCGGCGUGCUUAACACAUGCAAGUCGAACGGAAAGGCCCUGCUUUUGUGGGGUGCUCGAGUGGCGAACGGGUGAGUAACACGUGAGUAACCUGCCCUUGACUUUGGGAUAACUUCAGGAAACUGGGGCUAAUACCGGAUAGGAGCUCCUGCUGCAUGGUGGGGGUUGGAAAGUUUCGGCGGUUGGGGAUGGACUCACGGCUUAUCAGCUUGUUGGUGGGGUAGUGGCUUACCAAGGCUUUGACGGGUAGCCGGCCUGAGAGGGUGACCGGCCACAUUGGGACUGAGAUACGGCCCAGACUCCUACGGGAGGCAGCAGUGGGGAAUAUUGCACAACGGGCGGAAGCCUGAUGCAGCAACGCCGCGUGCGGGAUGACGGCCUUCGGGUUGUAAACCGCUUUCGCCUGUGACGAAGCGUGAGUGACGGUAAUGGGUAAAGAAGCACCGGCUAACUACGUG